UACUAUGAUGAACCAAAGUAAAAAAGCAUAGUUCAACUGAGACUUCAAGUCACUGAACGAAAACUUACCAUCACCAAUCUUUUCUGAAC
rnacentral:snoRNA from 1 species